UGCACUAAGCGUGAUGUCAGAAUGGCUGAUGUCAGAAUGGUGUCCCCUCAUUUUGCUGCUUGAGGAGCAGGACACAGGUUAGCAGGUAACAGACCAAGUAAGGUAUGGGACACAGGUUAACAGGUAGCAGACCAAGGAAGGUAUGGGAAAGACUGUGAUGGGUUCACAGAAGCUGGAGAUGAGAAGGCUCACUAGAGAUUGUGCAGGUCACAGCCUGUGCUCAGAAGUCAGGAGACUGUCAUCCCAAACUGACAGGGAAAUCAUGAGCAGCCAGCCCUUGCAGACAUUUGGGACGCUACCAACAGCCGAGGGUAAACCCGUUGUGACUUCUGAAACUUGCCGUCAGAUGUCACCUGCCUGGACUGUGCCAGCGCAGUUUUUAUCAGUGUGGCAAACCACUGUGCCUGUCCCAUGGCCUCGCCUGAGCCAGUCCUACUGAGGGAAAUGGAAAACUUAAAUAGCUAUAGGAUCACUAUCAGUGUAAACUAGAGAUAGGCGACCACACCUGAUACCUCUUUUAUGCUCUCU